UCGCUACUACCGAUUGAAUGGCUUAGUGAGCUCUCUGGACUGUUGCACGUCGAGGGUUUUCUCUUGACGAGCAGCCGGGAACUCGAUCAAACUUGAUCAUUUAGAGGAAGUAA
rnacentral:rRNA from 1 species